AAUUAAAUCAUAAGAUGUCAUGGUUUUGUAACUUCGCUAUUGGUAUUCCACAUCAUAACAUCAUGGACAAAAGAGAAGAACUACGUAUCCCAGAGGACCUCACGGUCAGAGAAGGAAGACACAUCACGGAAGAUACGUCAUCUGGUUGCGCGCGGUUCUUCUUCACUUUCGCUUGCUGCCAGGAGAGUGUGCUCCCAAGCCGGGAGUGCUUUCCCAAGCUUGGGUGUGCUUUCCAAGCCGGGCGCCUUCAUCAAGUUCCCAUUGCACUGAACUGAAUGGUGCUGUACAGUUUUUUCUCGUUAAUGCCAUCAUCAAUACUCAGAUCACUUUCUUAAGAAGAAUUAUUCACACUGCUGCCACCUAAAUUAAUGCAGCAUUUCCAGAAUACAUUUGACUGGUAUAUAUGUAAUCAGAAAUAAACAUUUUUGGACUUCUACCCUGGAUCUAUGAGAACCAGAGUAAUAUUAAAAAUGACAUGGUGAUUUAUUCAUGUUUCUUGAUUAACUUUUUACCAUCAAAUUUGUGACAGCUAAAAACUCUUUCAGUUUUGAUGAUGAUUAAUCCAUAUGAUGUGGCAGAUAUCCAAUAAGUAUGAUACUAUGAGCUUGAGAGAGUGAACCCUGUAAAUUUAGAAGGCAUUGAAGGAGGCCUGAGAGAACCUCUAGGGGGCUUUGAGAUUUCGAUACUUUGAAAAUUCUGGAUGAGUUCUCCCACAAACCAAGGACCACCCCUUUGGCUGGACCAGCACUGGAACCUGGACUGGUGAUCUCUUUCUUUGCCUGUUUUGCUCUCUCUCCCCUCAUCUCUCUCUCUCUCUCUUUUCUUUCUUUUUCUCUCAUAAAGUGAUUAAUGCGAGGCUUAUUUGAUUUCUUAUAAAGUCACAUAGUUUACCCUUGCAGUUUAGAGAGAUAUAAUUGUAAGAGUGCUAAUACUUUUAAGAUAAUUGUAAUACAGAGAUUCUCAUUAAAAAAGUUGAUUGUGUCUGG
ensembl:lncRNA